AGGAGCCGUGUGAGGUGAAAAUCUCACGCACGGUUCUGAAGACGAGCCCCUUAUGGUGACAUGGGGGGGCUUAGUUUAAC
rnacentral:ncRNA from 1 species